AGAGUUUGAUCCUGGCUCAGAUUGAACGCUGGCGGCAUGCCUUACACAUGCAAGUCGAACGGCAGCACGGGAGCAAUCCUGGUGGCGAGUGGCGAACGGGUGAGUAAUAUAUCGGAACGUGCCCAGUCGUGGGGGAUAACGUAGCGAAAGCUACGCUAAUACCGCAUACGAUCUAUGGAUGAAAGCGGGGGAUCGCAAGACCUCGCGCGAUUGGAGCGGCCGAUAUCAGAUUAGGUAGUUGGUGGGGUAAAGGCUCACCAAGCCGACGAUCUGUAGCUGGUCUGAGAGGACGACCAGCCACACUGGGACUGAGACACGGCCCAGACUCCUACGGGAGGCAGCAGUGGGGAAUUUUGGACAAUGGGCGCNAGCCUGAUCCAGCAAUGCCGCGUGCAGGAUGAAGGCCUUCGGGUUGUAAACUGCUUUUGGACGGAGCGAAAAGGCUCUCUCUAAUACAGGGAGCUCAUGACGGUACCGUAG
rnacentral:rRNA from 1 species